GAUGAACGCUAGCUACAGGCUUAACACAUGCAAGUCGAGGGGCAGCGCAGUGUAGCAAUACAUGGGCGGCGACCGGCGCACGGGUGCGUAACGCGUAUCCAACCUUCCCGUUACUCAGGGAUAGCCUUCCGAAAGGGAGAUUAAUACCUGAUGGUGUUUGAAUUCCGCAUGUUAUUCAAACUAAAGAUUUAUCGGUAACGGAUGGGGAUGCGUGACAUUAGAUAGUAGGCGGGGUAACGGCCCACCUAGUCUACGAUGUCUAGGGGUUCUGAGAGGAAGGUCCCCCACACUGGAACUGAGACACGGUCCAG
rnacentral:rRNA from 1 species